GUCUAUAGCCAAGUGGUAAGGCGUGGGUCUGCAAAACCCUGAUUCGUCGGUUCAAAUCCGACUAGGC
rnacentral:tRNA from 1 species